AAACUUUUGACAUCGGCAUCUGAGUCGCUCUUUUUUUGUUUUACUGCUGUUUUGGACCUUCAAGUAGCGAUAUAGACAAGUUAGGCCUACUCGUGUGAGGAUGGACAGCUAUGAGGUGGUGUGUGUGAUUGGACAGGGGGCGUUCGGGAAGGCAUUCCUCGCUUGGGACCGAGGAAGAGGAGGAGGAAGAGGAGGAGGAAGAGGACAGUGUGUUCUGAAGGAGGUCAACUUGAAGAAGAUGUCUUCCCGUGAGAGGGACUCGGCCCAGAAGGAAGUGGUGCUGCUCUCUCAGAUGAAGCAUCCAAACAUCGUCACUUUCAUCAGCUCUUUCCAGG